rnacentral:rRNA from 1 species
GACGAACGCUGGCGGCGUGCUUAACACAUGCAAGUCGAACGGAAAGGCCCUGCUUGCAGGGUACUCGAGUGGCGAACGGGUGAGUAACACGUGGGUGAUCUGCCCUGCACUUCGGGAUAAGCCUGGGAAACUGGGUCUAAUACCGGAUAGGAGCCAUUUUUAGUGUGAUGGUUGGAAAGUUUUUUCGGUGUGGGAUGAGCUCGCGGCCUAUCAGCUUGUUGGUGGGGUAAUGGCCUACCAAGGCGGCGACGGGUAGCCGGCCUGAGAGGGUGGACGGCCACAUUGGGACUGAGAUACGGCCCAGACUCCUACGGGAGGCAGCAGUGGGGAAUAUUGCACAAUGGGCGCAAGCCUGAUGCAGCGACGCCGCGUGGGGGAUGACGGCCUUCGGGUUGUAAACUCAUUUCGCUAGGGACGAAGCUUUUUGUGACGGUACCUAGAUAAGAAGCACCGGCUAACUACGUG